rnacentral:rRNA from 1 species
AUUGAGCGCUGGCGGCAGGCCUAACACAUGCAAGUCGAGCGGAUGAAGGGAGCUUGCUCCUGGAUUCAGCGGCGGACGGGUGAGUAAUGCCUAGGAAUCUGCCUGGUAGUGGGGGAUAACGUCCGGAAACGGGCGCUAAUACCGCAUACGUCCUGAGGGAGAAAGUGGGGGAUCUUCGGACCUCACGCUAUCAGAUGAGCCUAGGUCGGAUUAGCUAGUUGGUGGGGUAAAGGCCUACCAAGGCGACGAUCCGUAACUGGUCUGAGAGGAUGAUCAGUCACACUGGAACUGAGACACGGUCCAGACUCCUACGGGAGGCAGCAGUGGGGAAUAUUGGACAAUGGGCGAAGGCCUGAUCCAGCCAUGCCGCGUGUGUGAAGAAGGUCUUCGGAUUGUAAAGCACUUUAAGUUGGGAGGAAGGGCAGUAAGUUAAUACCUUGCUGUUUUGACGUUACCAACAGAAUAAGCACCGGCUAACUUCGCG